rnacentral:rRNA from 1 species
CCUACGUGCGGCAGCAGUGAGGAAUAUUGGUCAAUGGGCUUACGCCUGAACCAGCCAAGUCGCGUGAGGGAAGACUGCCCUCUGGGUUGUAAACCUCUUUUGUCAGGGAGCAACGCCGGCUACGUGUAGCCGGACUGAGAGUACCUGAAGAAAAAGCAUCGGCUAACUCCGUGCCAGCAGCCGCGGUAAUACGGAGGAUGCGAGCGUUAUCCGGAUUUAUUGGGUUUAAAGGGUGCGUAGGCGGAAUGCCAAGUCAGCGGUAAAAUCGCGGGGCUCAACCUCGCUCCGCCGUUGAAACUGGCGUUCUUGAGUGGGCGAGAAGUAUGCGGAAUGCGUGGUGUAGCGGUGAAAUGCAUAGAUAUCACGCAGAACUCCGAUUGCGAAGGCAGCAUACCGGCGCCCAACUGACGCUGAAGCACGAAAGCGUGGGUAUCGAACAGGAUUAGAUACCCCAGUAGUC